GACGAACGCUGGCGGCGUGCUUAACACAUGCAAGUCGAACGGAAAGGCCCUGCUUUUGUGGGGUGCUCGAGUGGCGAACGGGUGAGUAACACGUGAGUAACCUGCCCUUGACUUUGGGAUAACUUCAGGAAACUGGGGCUAAUACCGGAUAGGAGCUCCUGCUGCAUGGUGGGCGUUGGAAAGUUUCGGCGGUUGGGGAUGGACUCGCGGCUUAUCAGCUUGUUGGUGGGGUAGUGGCUUACCAAGGCUUUGACGGGUAGCCGGCCUGCGAGGGUGACCGGCCACAUUGGGACUGAGAUACGGCCCAGACUCCUACGGGAGGCAGCAGUGGGGAAUAUUGCACAAUGGGCGGAAGCCUGAUGCAGCAACGCCGCGUGCGGGAUGACGGCCUUCGGGUUGUAAACCGCUUUCGCCUGUGACGAAGCGUGAGUGACGGUAAUGGGUAAAGAAGCACCGGCUAACUACGUG
rnacentral:rRNA from 1 species